AUUUAUGUAGUUUAAUAAAAACACUACAUUUUCACUGUAGAGAUAUUAUAAUUAAUCAUAAAUU
rnacentral:tRNA from 1 species